ensembl:lncRNA
UUUUUUUUUCCUGUCUUUUUAGGGCCCCCGUGUGGCAUAUGGAAGUUCCCAAGCUAGGGGUCGAAAAGGAGCUGCAACUGAUGACCUGCCCCACAGCCGCAGCAACGCCGGAUCCAAGCCACAUCUAUGUACUACACCGCAGCAUAGGGCAACUCCAGAUCCUUAACCCACUGAGCGAAGCCAGGGAUCAAAUCCACAUCCUCAUAGAUACUAGGAGGGUUCUUAACCCACUGAGCCACAACAGAAACUCCCAACACAUUUUUUUUUUAAUUUUUGUUUAUUUAUUCAUUUUUUAGGGCUACACCCACAGCAUAUGGAGCGGCCCAAGAAAUGGCAAAAAAAAAAAAUAAUAAUUACAUAAAUAAAUAAAAUAAAAUAAAAUGAACAAAGUGGAGAAGUGCCACAGACUGAGGCUGUGCGCUCAGCGCGGCAGGGACCUAACUGGAGGGACAUCACCCAGAGGCCGACGUGCCCCACAUCAGGCAGGCGCUCCCCAGCCGGGCCGCCCUCCUAGGUGCCCAGACACAGCAGGUGGGCAACACCCGACCUGCUAAUUCCCAGGUGGGCAGGGAGGGGCCCAGGGCUUACCUCUGUGCUCGAGUGCAGGGCCACUGGCCCCCCAGCUCUGGUAGAGAGAAGCAAAGUCCUUUGGAAUGUAUGUCUUAAAGAUAUUGAGGAUGUCCAGGCGUUUCUCAGGGCUGUCAGCCACGGGCUCCUGCUUGAUGGUGGGCAGCACCGGUGAGGCCUGCGAUGCCAGGUGGCCCCUGGAGCCCACACCGUUGCCAGCCUUGGAGGGGGGUUCUCGGGGAGGUAGAGGGAGGCCCCCGUCACCUUUCACUUGUGGCUGACCCUGAGGCUGAGGGCUGAAUUUGGCUUUCAGGGGGUCCGGGGCGCUGUGCUUACUUGGGGGGACGAUGCCAGAUGCCACCGGGGGGUGUGCGUACUUGUCUCCCAGCCUGCUGUUGGCCGGGGGCUNNNNNNNNNNNNNNNNNNNNNNNNNNNNNNNNNNNNNNNNNNNNNNNNNNNNNNNNNNNNNNNNNNNNNNNNNNNNNNNNNNNNNNNNNNNNNNNNNNNNNNNNNNNNNNNNNNNNNNNNNNNNNNNNNNNNNNNNNNNNNNNNNNNNNNNGCCGGAGCCCCAUGCUGCUCAGGUCCCAGGCUGGGCUUGGUCGGCCGAGGCCCAUCGGGGGCAGCUGCCCAGAGUCCACAGGGUCCCCCGGGAUGGCUGUCCUUGUUCCUGGGCAAGCUGGCAGCUUUCACGGUCAUGCCCAGGGGUGAGGGGCUGCCUUUGGUCCCCGGCGCCCCACCUGGCACCUGAGUGCGGGUGAACCGGGAGAUGGGCAGGGGCUGACACUCCUUGCCGCCGAGGGCGGGCGGGGGCCCCGUGCGUCCACUCCGGGCGAGGAAAACCAAGUUGUUUCUGAUGCUCUUGUAGCCGUUGGGCUGGAUCCACUGGGGAGCCAUGGAGCUGCAGCUGACCCUGUGCCAGAGGCGCUUGUGCAUCCAGAGGACCUCGGGAUAGUAGGUCUUAUGGCUGCAGUAAGGACACGGGUGGACGGCCAAGGCCGCUUGCAGCGAGGAGGCCAGCUCCUUAUGGCUGGGGUCAGCCCGCGUCGACCUCUCACUCAGGUCCAGUGGGAUCAGGUCUGGGGCCAGCACCCUUUUCCCUCCCCCGGAAUGUUCCUUGUUGUGCAAAUCGGACAGCUUCUCCUUCAGGUGGGUGGCCUGGCUUUCUGACAAGAGCUGCAGAUCUGCCCGUUCCAGAAAAGUCUGAUCAGGCUUCGAAGGGAGGUCUGCAGAGUCCCUGGAGCCCGGGACCUCUUGCUUGGGGUGAAAUGCUGGCAUCUUUAAGUCCAUGGAAAACCUAGGCUGCUCUGGUCUCUUGGAAGUCUCUCUGCUACCAUUUUCAAGUACGGAUGUGGAAGCAGUGAUCCCCAUGCUGGGCUCCCCGGAGUCUCUUCCAGAUGGGUGAUUUCCAAGUGUGUGACUUUGGUCUCCAUUGGAGAGCCUGGUCGGUGCUACUUCUUCAGAAAAGCAGCAGCGGUGUGGCUUUGCCCCUGAAGGAUCAAAAUGAGUGAAGUUACCAUUUCUCAUCAGAACAGAACAAGAGACAGAGAAGCACACCCACGAUUCCAGGCCCACUCAUGGAGGGGAGCACUCGGAUCUCAGGAACGGUGUGAUCCAGGGCCUGGACUAACAGGCUCUGUUGGAAGCAGACCAAACUUGAGGGCAAAUUAACAUUCUUAAGGGUUGGGCUUUUUUUGAUUUUGCUUUUGCUUUUCUUUUUGUUUGCAAUUAUAUGACUCAGUAGAUCACAGAGGAAAAUAACAUAGCUGCCCAUUUAGUGACAUAUAACCACACUGUUACUAGUUAACAUAGAGUACUAGUUAUAUCAAAACCAGGAAAAAGACUUAAUUCCUUAUAAGAGCAUAAGUUUUCCAUAAGGUUCAAAGACCCUCUGAGCUAGUGAUCAUAUGGAAACUAUGGGCUCUGGUCUGAUUCAGAAAGGGUUCCUGUGACUCUCCAGUAUAGCCCAACACUCAGCUCCAAACUUGACACCAACAGUUUCCUUUGGAGGCCUGAGAGGGAAGCGGGUGUCACACUUGUCACCCACCCUUCUUGGGGAAGAGGGGGCGCUGCCCAGGGAAACCAUGCAUCCUGGAUGGGGACCCCUCUCCUGCUCCCAUGAGGCCUGCCAGAAGCUUUUGUGGGAAAGACACUGUGGCCAGUUUCCCCGCCACCAGGAGACCCCACGUCCUCUUGGGUGAAUGCUGUGGGUCUGGGAAGUCACCCCAAGCUCUGCCCGGCUCCCCAACCUCUGGCCCAGGUGUGCAAAGCUUCUCCUCGACUAGACUGCAGUGCAAGUGGAUUCAACAUGAUUUAAUAAAAAAUCCAGUUUUUAAGUCUGCACUGACAACCUUGGGUUUCCUUCAAUGAAAAGGUGCGUUUCUGGAUAUCUUGAACCUUUCCAAACUACGGACCUGGACUCCUCAUUAAUACUCACUAGAAGGUGUUUUAUCUCAUUACGACCAUGUCACAUCUGGGAUGGACUAAAAUGUUAGGUGUUCUCUUAUGAGAAAGCCCAAUACCGUUAGUUUUUAAAUAAGAAUUUUUCAGAGAUUUUUUAACAUUCGGUGGAAUAUAGGUAUCUGUUUACACUGACACUCUUUAAAUCUUUUCUAAGUUUAUUUUUGGAGUUAAGACAGAAAUCCCAUGAAAGUGGUUACAAAAAAAAAGAUUCCAAAAGUAUUGUCAGGAGACCAGGAAAGCCAGUAACAAAUGUUUACUUUCAAUUUGUAAGUAGUUCAUGAGCCUCUCAUAAGCAACUUUAAACGAUUAUGUCCACAUAAGAAAUGUUACCAGUAUGUAGUGAUCAGCAGAACUGGCAAAAAGAUGAGACAAAGAAGGGCUGUUUUUUCUGAUCCUACUGGCUCCAAAAAGCCAACAUUUAAAGAAAGUCAGAUAUGGGAGUUCCCAUAGUGGUGCAGCGGAAACAAUCCGACUAGGAACCAUGAGGUUGUGGGUUCGAUCCCUGGCCUCGCUCAGCAGGUCAAGGGUCCAGCGUUUCCAUGAGCUGUGGUAUAGGUCACAGGCGAGGUUCAGAUCUGGUGUUGCUGUGGCUCUGGCGUAGGCCAGGGGCUACAGCUCCAAUUAGACCCCUCACCUGGGAACCUCCAUAUGCCGAGGGUGCAGCCCUAAAAAGACAAAAGACACAAAAACAAACAAAGUUAGAUAUGCCUGUCUGUCAAGAGGGAAUCUGGCAUUGCUCAGAAAGCUCCACUG